GCAACAGAAGAAGCACCGGCUAACUCCGUGCCAGCAGCCGCGGUAAUACGGAGGGUGCGAGCGUUAAUCGGAAUUACUGGGCGUAAAGACGCAUGCAGGUGGUUUGUUAAGUUCAGAUGUGAAAGACCCGGGGCGUCAACCUCGGAACUGCAUUUGAAACUAGGCAGACUAGAGUACUGUAGAGGGGGGUAGGAAUUUCAGGUGUAGCGGUGAAAUAGCGUAGAGAUCUGAAGGAAUACCGGUGGCGAAGGCGGCCCCCUCGGACAGAUACUGACACUCAGAUGCGAAAGCGUGGGGAGCAAACAGGAUUAGAUACCCUGGUAG
rnacentral:rRNA from 1 species